GAGAGAGAGUAAAACGAUGGCGGAUAUUUCUAACUCCAAAAGUUUGCAUUCGACGGAUGUUUCUGAUCCGUGGCUCUAAGCGUUUGCGUAGGGUUCUGCCUCGGUAAAACUGAACCCAAAGAGGAACGUACCUGCACAACUAAAGAACCCCAUGAUUUAGUAAGACCAUAUGCAAUGGAUGCCAUAAGUUUUUAUAGUGAAAUAACAGGCACAAAAUAUGAGCUGGUGGAGCCUGGUUACAUUGCACAUGUGCUUCUUUUGAAAUGCCUUGUUCGCCAUCUCGACUUCACAGCCAAAAAGACUGAUGUUGAUGAUGCUCCAGAGGAGAUAUUUUUUGCUGAACUGACAACUAUCAACAAGGAGAUAAAAACAAUGGCUGCCGUUAUUGCAUGAAUUACAAUGCUCAGCAUCCUAGGGAUGGAGGAUUCAUGGCUGGUGGUGCUGGAUUAUUCCGUGAUGAGCCUAAUGAUAUUCCCAGAAAGGAACGUACAUCUACAGACAGCCAUGAUGUAGUAAGGCCAUAUGCAGUGGAUGCCAUAAGUGUCUAUAACGAAAGAACAGGUUCAAAAUAUGAGCUUGUGCAGCCUGGUUACAUUACGCAUGUGGAUAUCGGACAUGCUUUCUUCACCAUCUCGACUUCACGGCUAAAAAGACUGAUGUUGCUGAUGCUCCAGAGGAGAUGUUUUUUGCUGAACUGACAACUACCAACAAGGUUCGGUGUGUCAAGGCUUGCAGAUGCAUGGGGCCAAAAAUAGUAAUUUCAGGAGAUAAAAACAGUGGCUGAUGUUAUUGCAUGUCUUACAGUGUUCAGCAUCCGAGGGGUGGAGGAUUCAUCGCUGGCCGUGCUGGAUUAUUCCGUGAUUUAUAAAAACUAUAUUCCUUGGCUUUUGGCAGUGAACUUUUUAUGAACAUAAAAAUGUCAGUUGUGUAUAUUGAAACUUAAUUUAGAUUUUUGACGCUUGUGUAUUCGGACAUAUCUAAAAGUUUGUGAGCAACUCAAGGAUGCAUAUUCAUUUUAAAAAACUUUGGAGCUUUGAAUUCCGAUCUAAACUUCCUUAAAACUUAAUUCUCUUAAGAACUUCUAGAUAUGAGCUACUGCAUAUAAUAAGCAAGUUGCUGAAACUCACGCCACAAGAGUUUCCACUUUCAUCUUGAAGUUAAGAGAUCAACUCGUCGCUGUCAAAACUUCUCCAAUCUUCAGAUACUCAGCUCGCACACCCAAAUUUGCAACCAGCCA